ACCGAAACGUAGUGUUUAAACAGCUAUCCGAAAUUCCUAUUUAGAGGAAUUUAAAUAGUUUCUCAUUUAAAAAGACAGAAAAUUUUAAAUACAGUUCUGUUCAAAAAUCGGUCGUUCCAUUAUAGAAAAAGGGGUUUGCUUGAUGGGUUAUUGAAACUGACCCAGUGAAUCGAUCCCUCUUCCCCCCUUCGUUUGCUAGUAUUCGGCGUGACCUAGAGUGCACCGGUGCGACGUAGGUCGUGGCUUGACCCACACACGAUCCGUGAAUCCUUGUGGACAUCGGUGGCGACCGCGAGGCGGGAUAUAGAAGAGGUUGGUUGGAGAGAGGCGAUGCUCACACGUGCACCUCGGGGCAUUCACGAGUUGGCAGUCGGCUGUUGAAACCCGCCCGGUGAAUGCCUCUCCAGCCUCUCCUCUGCACGUAUUUUUAUCGACCUUUCGAUACACCCAUGGGGUUCGCGUACAUGGAGGAAUUUCCAACCUAGGGAUGAAUUAUCGCGCGCGGCUAAAUAAUUCGUCGAUGCUUGGUUCGCGAAAGGAGGAAUGCGAUCGAACGUUGUUGAAAACAUUGAGUGUUGUAGAAACGUCGACACCAGUGACGCGUGACACGGACAUCGAAGAAAGUGAAAUGUGAAUCUAUCGUACGGACAGGAAGCUAUCAGAACGGUCUCUGAACUCUGCUCGUCGAGUUUCACUCGAUCUUCGAAUCGAAUUGCCACAAUUUUGCACCAUGUUCGCGGAGAGAAAUCCAGCGCAAUUAAAACGGCGACACGCAUCGGCGAGGAUCUCAUGCGAGACCGUUUGAGCGAUUGAAUUGUGCAGAUAUUAUGGUUAAACGAGGUUGUUUGUGUUUGUUCGUUGUAAUGGUAGACAUUGUGACCAGCAUACCACUAAGUGAUCGUUAGACCGUGAAUUUAUUUUGAAGCUUGAUCGAAAAAGGAAUAUUCGAUCCGUGAGAAACACGAAAUCGUUAUAGUUUUGGAAAACGAUUUAAGAGAAAACAGAUCUGGCGCAGUGCUACAAAUAACUGUUUCGGGAAAGAAAGAAAUUGCCUUAAACGGAAGAAAAAUGUUCUCCUUGUUUUGAACUCGUAACGUAACAUAAUAACGGUUUCGAGGAUUUUUCGCGUGUCAGUGGAUCAGUAGGUUCUUUAUCCAUAUCGUUUGAUUGGUUUUUUGUAAAAAUUCGCGGAUGAACAUUCCACUCCACGUAUUCAUCGAUUAAUCAAUUUCUGUUUUUCACAGCCCAACAUAAUGUUUAUCAUUCAAACGUAAACAAAUUGAUUCGUCCGAGCGUUCAUUAGAUUCUUAUCGCGACAAAUUGCUGUGGAGCAAUAAAACGAUGGUGUCGAUUCGAUUCGCGCGGCACGGCGCGUGAAUCAUUCGAAAUUCACAUUGGGACGCCGUUAUAUUGCGAGAAAAUUUGCACGAUGAAAGAUCUCUAAUGUGCCACACAAGAAGAUGAAUGGAUGGUCGCGACAGGACGCGUUUCGAAGGAACUUGUUCUUUUCCAACCGAGUGCGCGAACAGGGGCCGUAUAUGAUGGCAGUACACGAUGAACAAGUGUGGGAAUAGUCGAGUCACCGGCUACAGUGACACUAAUCACGUUAACGACACAAGGAUAAUAUGUCGCGUGAAACGUAGCAAGGACACGUGUACCGGUAUCAGUAACGAGACUUUAAUUGUACGUGUUCGCAUCGAGCGGUUCUCGUUUUAAUGGAAGAAAUCUUAAUUAAAUGAAAAUUGAAAUUCAACGGGUACUUGGAGAGUGGAUGCACGCCGAUGUGCAUCGUUAAUAUUACAUAAUCAAAUCCUACUCGUACUUCUGGUGAUUAGUACAAAUAUAGGAUGAAAAUGUAAAAAUAAACGAUUUUGCGUUGAAGUCAGGAGGUAAUUUAUCUACUCUACGAAAAGAUAUGUUAAUAAAAUCGCAUUGGAAAGAUUUCAAUCUUUUUGUCGGUAGAAAAAGAAGUGCAAGCAUAUAUUUAUAAAAAUAGCAAGCAACUAUUUUAUAAAAAUACACCCUUCGAGAGAGUCAGCCGUAAUUACUCAAAUACGAAUACAUUUGCAAAGACAAAGACAAUGGUGGAAUAGGAUGAUGUUGGCGAGACAUUGUGCGAGAAAAAUUCUUCAUUGUUCGAGGAAUGUGGGCGUAUCGAGCAAGAUAUCUAAUCGAUAAGAAAAAAAGAGUACUCUUGAAAGUAAAGAGAAUUACAAAAAAUAUUUUGCACGUUAUCGUUAAUAUUUUUUUUAACGAGCCAAAUUAAGAACAUAGAAGAACAUAGAGAAUUUUAGAAAAUAAUAAAGUAGAAAAUAAAUGAAGAUCUAGUGCAUUUACGUUUCACUUUAUAUGUGUAAAGAUUGUCAAAAUUUUUCCAGUAAUAAAAAAAAUUAUAAUAUUAAUAAUCGCGAAUAAGAAUUGAAUAAGAAAAAUUGAAAUACAAAUCUUUAAAUUGAAGAAUAUCGAUAACUGACAAAAUGGGAAACACGAGAUCGCAACUUUGCCGACGAAGCAAAUCACCUUAUCUUCUCUACCUUAUCCAUAGAACGUGGAGUAUUGUGACCGAUCAUCGGAAAGAUCAAACUCGUUCCGAUGAUACCGAUCGAGAAACUGAUUUAUCAUCGAGAUGCAGUGGUUGCAACAGAUGUGAUUUCGGACAAGACAGUCUUACAUUCGACAGCGAGACGGACAUGGCUCCGAACGCGGAGGAGGAGUUGUUGGUGGUGAAGCCGUGGGGGCCUCAACCGGAAAAGGAACGAUUAAGACCACCUACGUACAACGCCGAGGACUACGCGAUCGCUCUGAGACGAUGGGGAAGACGUCCAUUAGGAAGUGUUCAAGACUCGCAAGGUACUCUGCCCUCGACAACCAGUUCGAGUUCCGGUUACGCUUCCGGAAGCGGAGAGAUGACCUUGAGACAAUUCACCUCGGUUAGCGAGCUUCUGAACAAGCUCAGAGCCGACCUCAGGCUAGCCUUUCCAAGCUUUGUUCAGGAAUUCGCUUCACCGCCAGCUGAUGGGAUAACCUUGUUGCUCGAGACGCUUCGCGGUGUCCAAUUGGCCCAAAGUUCACCACCCUCUUCCGGCCACACGGGCCCAAGAGUAGGAACCAGAAGAGCUGCUUUGGACGAGUUGGGCUGUGUCGAGUGUCUGGCCGCCUGCACCGAACGAUGCACCGAUGCACCGAGGCUCCUAGUGCAAGCUCAACCAGGUCUUCUUGCUCUGGCAGUUUGUCUGACUAGUAGCUUGAACCGGUCUCGAGUCCUAGCUCUCCAGUUGUUGACCAAGGUCUGUCAAACGCCAGGUGGUCACGCGGUAGUUUCGGAAGCUGUCUCCACUCUUAGGUUAAAAUAUGGCGAAGGUGGAAGAUUUCGUUUCCUGGCUGGCGCUCUCUUGGCUCCCAGAGCAGCGAUUGCACUGAGAGUAGCAGGAGUUUCGUUCCUUAACGCCUUCCUAAAGUCUGCACCGCGAACACAAACCAGAUUGUACAUUCAGGCCGAAGCCUGCGAAGCUGGUCUAGAGCCGCAGGUCCUUCAAGAAUGGCUGAAAGAAUUGGACGGGAGGGAAGAGGAUACUUUGAACGAUCUUCUACAUAAGGAGGUUCAGAAAUGGUCGCACAACUGCGUGGACGUGGACGCCCUACAGCGACGUGUCGUACGUGCCGAGGAAACUUGUAGGAUAUUGAGCAAAAAGGUUUCGGCUCUGCAAACGCAGCUUCAACAAAUGCAGUUGGAGAAGUUGAACAAUUAUAAUAACCUAGAGGACCGUGAGAAAUUGACGGCACUUGGCACGAAACAGUCGCCGAAAAUGUCCUCGAACGCGGAAGACGAGGGUAUCAGCUCGUCGGAGAGAUCGAGUAGCCCGGAGAAUACGAAGCAUCAAUCUCGAACGAAUCAAAAAGUAAACGUGUCUCCGGAUAAUGAUCAGGAAACCACGAUCGAUGACGUGAUCGAAGAGCUGAGGAUUAUCGUGAAGGAUGCGGAAGAAGAGAUCGGGGACAAAAACCGGGAACAGAAUCGAAUAGAUCACGCGAAUCCGAAUUUUUAUAACGAAAAUUCUUCGAAAAUUAAGUUACACAGAACCGAUUCGAAAGUUUCUUUGAACAAUUCCGAGACUUACAUUUACGACAAGGUUUUAAAGAGAGAUCAUCAAACGGAUAUCAAGAUUUCUAUGUCGAACACGGGCUCCAACAUGUCUCAGAGUGUGAUCAAAGGAGAGCAAGUGACUUAUUUUGGUAACGAUCGAGAUUAUAGUAUAGAUUCGAGCAGUGAUAAAAGAACGAAUGGUGAAAAACGCAGAGUUUCGAAAUCCUCCUCGGUGGAAGGAAGCGUGAAGAUCGUUGUAAAGGGACCUGAAGUCGAGGAAGCAAUCGUUCCAACUAUUCUACAUCCUCAGCCACCUAGAAGAUCACCGCCUUGUUUGUCGGCUAUCAUGGCAGUAAGGCAUUGUGACUUUAUCGAUCAAGAAGAGCCGUUCAAUUCUCACGAUGAAGAUAUAGAAGACGAAACGUUGGGCGAUGGAAGUGACUCUCUCCUUAGCGCUUCUCGACUCAAGUACAACAGUAAGAACCAGACUUACGAGGAACGGAUUAAAACCGAGGUCGAUCAUUUUCAGAAACAGUGUGAUAGGAAAGAAACGGAGAAUAACAAUGAUGGUAAGAUGAAGAAAAGCUUCACCGAUCUUCGACGCUUCGGUGAAAACGAAAUAAAGGAUAAGAAAACAAUGAGGAAUUAUGAAACCUCGUGUAAUGCGAAAAACAAAACGACGAAUGACUCUAAAUCGAACAACAGGCAAUUGGACGGUGUAUCCCAAAGACAUAAUUCGAAAUAUAGAAGCGAAGUGGAAAAAAGAAAGCUUCUUCGUAGAUCGGCCAGUCACGAUUACCUCGAAUCAAGUGCUUCCAGUUCGCGAUCGAAAAGAUCCAAUAAAAGCAGAAUAGAAAGUCACAUUAGGAAAUUCGAGAGUCUGAAUUCUUUCGACGAGCAUCGAAGUCUCCAGAGUUAUGAGAGACACGGUAGCUCGGAAAAUCUAAGCAAGCAAGAACUUUUUGCAGAAGAGAAUUCGAGGAAUAGAAUGCGCAGAUCAGAAUCCUUUCACCAUGUAUCUUAUAUCGCUAAAAAAGAUCAGUGUUCCUCGCAAGGUGGAAGCGAUAGUGGUUUAUUUUAUGUCACAGAUUUCAAUCUUGAACCUUUAAUAACGCGAAAACCAAAAUCCAUCGAGGCGCCAAAAUCUCCCAAUCUAUUAACCAAAUCUUUGGAUAGAAUCGAUGAAGGUUUGGAUUCGAUGAUCGAUAUCGUGAUCAUGGAAGAGAAAAAUCAAUGGAAUUCGAAUAAAUAUCAAUCCAAAACGAAAAAGUCUCGAGAAGAAAGGACACUUGUUAGAUCGAAAUCGAAUAGAUUGGAAGAAUCGAAAAGUUGUUGUGAAUUUGAAUCCAAGGGGAGGAGAGAAGAAUCAAAGAAUAAACAUUUGAAAAACGAUGAAUUUUAUUCCGGACAUGUAAGCAAUAAGCAAUUAAGAAGUGAUGAAUUGUACGAAGAACAAAGAAAUCGAGAAUGGAAUAAGCUAAAUUCUUCAAGUAAAAACAACGAAUUAGAUUUUGAUUGUACUCCAAUGAUUCUAAUUAAGAAUGGAGUGAGACACAAUUCGUUCAGUCAGAAUGAAAAUAUUGGUAAUAGAUUUUUAAAUAAAUCAAUGGAUUCAGGGAUUUUCGCUGGACGAACUUAUGAUACAUUUGGAUUAGGAAAAAGUCGAUUUAAUGCUGGAAAAUAUUCGGGAAAUCAACAAAUAAAAGAAAGUCCAAUUGGAAGACGAAAUACAGCUUCUUCUGCAAAUGGAAAUCGUGCAAAAGUUACUGAUAUUGUUUCAGGGCUUUAUUAAAAAUAAUCUUUAAAUAAUUAGGAUUAGAUCAUCCAAUCCUGUUCAUAUCCUCAUAGUCUACGAGUGCAAUGUUAUUAAAUAUUAUGGGCGAAGUUAACAAUCUAAUUUAUAUUGUAAUUAACACUAUUGAUAAAUAUUUCAAUAUGAUAUAGAUAGAUAUUUUGGUGAUGGACCAAUUAUACAAAUGUACCAAUUGCAAAGUUUUUUAUGUAUGGACUGUGUAAUAUAUUCUUUUUUAUAUAUAAGGAAUACCUCUAUAAUUAUAUCGAGUUAAAAAAAAAGACUGUAAUUUAUGAAACAUAGAUGUGCAUAAAUAAUAUAACACAUAAAUAUUUACACAAUAUAUUAUUUAUUU